rnacentral:rRNA from 1 species
UACGAAGGGGGCUAGCGUUGUUCGGAUUUACUGGGCGUAAAGCGCACGUAGGCGGAUUCUUAAGUCAGGGGUGAAAUCCCGAGGCUCAACCUCGGAACUGCCUUUGAUACUGGGGAUCGUCGAGUUCGGGGAGAGGUGGAGUGGGAAUUUGCGAGUGUAGAGGUGAAAUUCGUAGAUAUUCGCAAGAACACCAGUGGCGAAGGCGGCUCACUGGCCCGAUACUGACGCUGAGGUGACGAAAGCGGUGGGGAGCAAACAGG